CAUGCCACAAUCAUGCCACCACACCUGGAUGUUUACAUGGGUGCUGGGGAUCCAAUCUCAGGUCCUCAGGCAUUCAUAGAAAGCACUUCACCAGCCAAAGUAUCUCCCACACCACUUCGCUUUGGAAGUUGUGUUUUGGACCUUCUUAAAGCCACAGUAUCCUUCCAGCCUCCUUUGCAAACUACAAGUGGCUUCUGAGAAGGCUCUGAAGUUCUGACAAGGUAGCCCGGGCAUGUUUCAUGACAAAAGCAGAGGAGCAAGAACAGGGAAAUCCCCACGUGCUUUCUCAAGUUCUAGUCACACCUGAUUGGUUGCCGUCCCAGUGGCCAGAUCUGGACCAGACCAGAGUCAGAGUGAGAAGGGCAGAGGCACAGGGAGCUGUGAAGACCCAGACCCAUCACUGCAUCAGGGAGCCCAGCCCUGUCCCACAAAGCUAUCAAGAGUGGCUAUAGGACACCCUGCAGGGAAGGUGCCUCAUGGAGGGUGCCCCUCAGGACAGAGACCUUUCUGUGUCACAAGGAGGCAGUGUCUUGACAUAUCCUCUGCAUGAACCUGACAAGUCUGGUUUGGAGAAGCUCAAUUCAGAGCUGGUCGAAGCUAGAGUUCACUCGACUGGGCUGUGGCUUCUCCAUGCUGGAACCCCGUCUGCUGUGCUUUCUGUCUUUCCUGUGUCUUUGACCCUAUGUACUGCCUUCCCACACCACUUCCAGCCUGAACCUGCUCCAGCCCAUGAAGAACAGGAAACAGCAAACUUAAGACCAGUGUUCAUGGGGGACCAGGCAGUGCCAGGUGCUGAGGUCACAGGAAAGGCUGGCCCCCACUCUAGCCUGUGUGCUCAGCUUUGGGGACCAGGACCCUUUUGUGAGAACCCUCCUUUUAGCAAAUGUUGAGCCCUUUCAAAGCUCUUUCUGCCCCUUCUGUUCCCUGGGAGGUGGAUCUGAUGAGGGCCAUCUUCAUGUUUAAAUACAUGAGAACCCAAUACCAAGAUGAGCAAUCAAUACACCAGCUUCGGCUCACACAUCACAUAUAUGGCAGUCUUGUCUAAAAUGCCCAUCUUCUGAAACCCACAAAGGCCCCUCGCAGAUCACCCACCCCCUAGCUUAUCUCAUUUAGCAGGUGACAGGUUCUGUCCAUUCCCAAGAGCUUUGAGAGAUGCUGUCUCCCCAUCCUUCUCAUGGGCUUCUCAGACCCACCCCCUCUUCUGUACCCUGCUGGCCUCUGCCACCUCUCUGUCCUCUCCCUGGCUGGCUCUUGCUCUGCUGAUGAAGGAAGCUUGUCUAUGAACGGCUAAAGUGCCUAGAAUCUCUUAUAAAUAUUUCAUGAAA